rnacentral:rRNA from 1 species
AGAGUUUGAUCAUGGCUCAGAAUGAACGUUGGCGGCGUGGAUUAGGCAUGCAAGUCGAGCGGUAAGGCUCCUUCGGGAGUACACGAGCGGCGUAAGGGAGAGUUACGCGUGGUUUACCUGCCCUAGGGUCCAGAAUAGCUUCGGGAAACUGAAGGUAAUGCUGGAUAAUAUCUCCGGAUCAAAGGUGAGAUUCCGCCCUAGGAGGGGACCGCGUUCUAUUAGCUUGUUGGUGGGGUAACGGCCUACCAAGGCUUUGAUGGAUACCGGGUGUGAGAGCAUGGCCCGGCUCACUGGGACUGAGACACUGCCCAGACACCUACGGGUGGCUGCAGUCGAGAAUCUUCGGCAAUGGGCGCAAGCCUGACCGAGCGACGCCGCGUGUGGGAUGAAGGCCUUCGGGUUGUAAACCACUGUCAGUUGGGAGGAAAUCCGUGGGGGCUAUCCCCCAUGGUUGACCUAUCUUCAGAGGAAGGACGGGCUAAGUUCGUGCCAGCAGCCGCGGUAAUACGAACCGUCCAAACGUUAUUCGGAAUCAUUGGGCUUAAAGGGUGCGUAGGCGGUGUGGUCAGUUGGGUGUGAAAUCCCUCGGCUCAACCGAGGAACUGCGCCCAAUACUGCCAUACUCGAGGGAGACAGAGGUAAGCGGAACUGAUGGUGGAGCGGUGAAAUGCGUUGAUAUCAUCA